AACCCAUGGUGAGGGCACCUUUUCAAAAGAUCCUUGUAUCUCUCCCAUGCAUUAUAGAGUGUUUCUAUAUCCAUCUGCACAAAAGAAGAGAUGUCAUUCAUCAACUU
rfam:Gossypium hirsutum cultivar TM-1 chromosome 2, whole genome shotgun sequence